GUGGGGAAUCUUCCGCAAUGGACGAAAGUCUGACGGAGCAACGCCGCGUGAGUGAUGAAGGUCUUCGGAUUGUAAAGCUCUGUUAAUCGGGACGAAAGAGCCUAGUGUGAAUAAUACUAGGAAGUGACGGUACCGGAAUAGAAAGCCACGGCUAACUACGUGCCAGCAGCCGCGGUAAUACGUAGGUGGCAAGCGUUGUCCGGAAUUAUUGGGCGUAAAGCGCGCGCAGGCGGAUCUGCCAGUCUGUCUUAAAAGUUCGGGGCUUAACCCCGUGAUGGGAUGGAAACUACAGAUCUAGAGUAUCGGAGAGGAAAGUGGAAUUCCUAGUGUAGCGGUGAAAUGCGUAGAUAUUAGGAAGAACACCAGUGGCGAAGGCGACUGACUGGACAAGUAUUGACGCUGAUGCACGAAAGCAUGGGGAGCAAACAGGAUUAGAUACCCCUGUAGUCC
rnacentral:rRNA from 1 species